GACGAACGCUGGCGGCGUGCUUAACACAUGCAAGUCGAACGGAAAGGCCCUGCUUUUGUGGGGUGCUCGAGUGGCGAACGGGUGAGUAACACGUGAGUAACCUGCCCUUGACUUUGGGAUAACUUCAGGAAACUGGGGCUAAUACCGGAUAGGAGCUCCUGCUGCAUGGUGGGGGUUGGAAAGUUUCGGCGGUUGGGGAUGGACUCGCGGCUUAUCAGCUUGUUGGUGGGGUAGUGGCUUACCAAGGCUUUGACGGGUAGCCGGCCUGAGAGGGUGACCGGCCACAUUGGGACUGAGAUACGGCCCAGACUCCUACGGGAGGCAGCAGUGGGGAAUAUUGCACAAUGGGCGGAAGCCUGAUGCAGCAACGCCGCGUGCGGGACGUCGGCCUUCGGGUUGUAAACCGCUUUCGCCUGUGACGAAGCGUGAGUGACGGUAAUGGGUAAAGAAGCACCGGCUAACUACGUG
rnacentral:rRNA from 1 species